GAGGCCCGCCGCGGUAACGACGGGUAACGGGGAAUCAGGGUUCGAUUCCGGAGAGGGAGCCCGAGAAACGGCUACCACUUCCAAGGAAGGCAGCAGGCGCGCAACUUACCCUAAUCUCGAUUCGAGGAGGUAGUGACAAGAAAUACCGAUGCGGGACCCUACGGGUGCCGCGUUCGGAAUGAGUACGAUUCGAACCACCUAACGAGGAACGAUCGGAGGGCAAGUCUGGUGCCAGCAGCCGCGGUAAUUCCAGCUCCAAUAGCGUACGUUAAAAGUUGCUGCAGUUAAAAAAGCUCGUAGUUGAACGUUCGGGUUCCGCGGGACGGGGCCGCCCCGCGAGGGACGGCGCCGCCCCGGGGCUCGUGAUAUCUCAUCUCGCCGCCCGUCGCGAGGCGGACGGAGGGAGUGGAUGAGGUUACCUAGGAAAAAAUCGGGGCGAUCUAGGCGGGCAAUGGGCGGGGUGUCCGGCCAAGAAAUCCCGUUCGACCUGUAGCUGACCGAUCUUGCGGUGCAGAUUGUCG
rnacentral:rRNA from 1 species